UACAGAGGUCCCGAGCGUUGUUCGGAUUCACUGGGCGUAAAGGGUGCGUCGGCGGUCGGGUAAGUCUGAUUUGAAAUCUCACAGCUUAACUGUGAAACUGCAUUGGAUACUAUUCGGCUUGAGAGUUGGAGGGGGGACUGGAAUUCUUGGUGUAGCAGUGAAAUGCGUAGAUAUCAAGAGGAACACCAGUGGCGAAGGCGAGUCCCUGGACAACUUCUGACGCUGAGGCACGAAAGCUAGGGGAGCAAACAGG
rnacentral:rRNA from 1 species